UACAGAGGUCUCAAGCGUUGUUCGGAUUCAUUGGGCGUAAAGGGUGCGUAGGCGGCGCGGUAAGUCGGGUGUGAAAUCUCGGGGCUUAACUCCGAAACUGCAUUCGAUACUGCCGUGCUUGAGGACUGGAGAGGAGACUGGAAUUUACGGUGUAGCGGUGAAAUGCGUAGAUAUCGGGAGGAACACCAAUUGCGAAGGCAGCUUGCUGGGACGGUACUGACGCUGAGGCGCGAAAGCGUGGGGAGCAAACAGG
rnacentral:rRNA from 1 species